rnacentral:tRNA from 1 species
CAAAGGGUGCCGUGGGUGCAGCGGUUUUUGUAAGGCCGCGCUGGUGGUGCUGUCGGAUCGAGGGUUUCACACCCUCCGCUUCGA